UACGGGGGGAGCAAGCGUUGUUCGGAUUUACUGGGCGUAAAGGGCGCGUAGGCGGCCACCGCAAGUCGGUUGUGAAAUCUCUGGGCUUAACCCAGAAAGGUCAACUGAUACUGCGGGGCUAGAGUGCAGAAGGGGCAACUGGAAUUCUCGGUGUAGCGGUGAAAUGCGUAGAUAUCGAGAGGAACACCUGCGGCGAAGGCGGGUUGCUGGGCUGACACUGACGCUGAACUGCGAAAGCUAGGGGAGCGAACGGG
rnacentral:rRNA from 1 species